UGCGUAGACGGGAAGUCAAGUUAGUUGUGAAAUCCUUCGGCUUAACUGAGGAACUGCAACUAAAACUGAUUUUCUUGAGUACUGGAGAGGAAAGUGGAAUUCCUAGUGUAGCGGUGAAAUGCGUAGAUAUUAGGAGGAACACCGGUGGCGAAGGCGACUUUCUGGACAGAAACUGACGUUGAGGCACGAAAGUGUGGGGAGCAAACA
rnacentral:rRNA from 1 species